GACGAACGCUGGCGGCGUGCUUAACACAUGCAAGUCGAACGGAAAGGCCCUGCUUGCAGGGUGCUCGAGUGGCGAACGGGUGAGCAACACGUGGGUGAUCUGCCCCUUACUUUGGGAUAAGCCUGGGAAACUGGGUCUAAUACUGGAUAGGACCAUGCUGUAGGUGGUGUGGUGGAAAGAUUAGUUUCGGUAAGGGAUGAGCUCGCGGCCUAUCAGCUUGUUGGUGGGGUAAUGGCCUACCAAGGCGUCGACGGGUAGCCGGCCUGAGAGGGUGGACGGCGACAUUGGGACGGAGGUACGGCCGAGACGACUACGGGAGGCAGCAGUGGGGAAUAUUGCACAACGGGCGGAAGCCUGAUGAAGCGACGCCGCGUGGGGGAUGACGGCGUUCGGGUUGUAAACUCCCUUCAGCGAUGACGAAGCCCUUGUGGUGACGGUAGUGGUAGAAGAAGCACCGGCUAACUACGUG
rnacentral:rRNA from 1 species